UUUCCAAACAGAACUUGGAACCCUUCUAACUGGCAUCACAAUCUAGUACCAACAGUCUCCCAAGCUCACUUGGCCAGAGAUGGUCAACAGCGAACAUGCUGAGCUGCUUCUCCACUUCACAAGGCUGCAGCCUUAGGACUCCAGGCAGAGAAAGUGUCUAUCAAAGAUUGAGAAGACAGCUGACUCCAUCCAGAUGCCACAGACCACACUGCAGCAGCCAUACGACUGUCACAGACACCCCAGGGAAGUUCUCCCCGGGAGUGACCACCAGUGACCUAUCAAAAUCAAGAGAUGUGGGUCUUUAAUUGAAUGACUGGAGGAAACUGUCAACAAAGAACAUGCCUGCAUUACUCCAUUCUGCUUAGUGAACAAAUUGGAAUAGAUAUUCUAGAAAGUAUGAGGUCAGGGCAUUACAAACCCACUGCCUCUGUCUCUGCAACUCCAUUUCUGAGCACAAGGGAAUUUGGUUUCUUGAUGCCUUUUGACAGGACCAAAGCAACAAGAAAAAUGGAGUGAAAGGUAAAAGUAAACUCCCUCCAAAGAAAAGGAGAAAAAGUAGGAGGAAGAGGAAAAGGAGCAGGAGGAGGAAAGGAACAAAGGAUGUAGGGAGGGAGAGAGGGAAUGAGGGGAUAAUGGAAAAAAAAGAAAAGAAAAGAAAGGAAGAGAAAAAAAAGAGAAGAAAGUUAAGAAACUGGUAAUGAAGAUGAAGGCUCGUAGAAGGGAUUGGAAGAAAUCUGAGUUCAUCCUCAUUUGUUUUGAUUUCUCAUCCACCAAACCACAGCCCAUUUUCCAAUUUGCUAUCUUCACCCUAGCUGGGUUAAAGUGGUGUGAGUUAGAAAGUUUUCACAAAAAUGAGAUUAUAAUGCCAGGAAUGGACCCAGAAAGUAUGUUCUCAUAACAAAAGGCCAUGUCAAGCUUUUCUGAUUUAAAAUUUUUUUUUGUAGAAGCCAAAUCUCAUAAAACAGCAAACAUAUAUUCCCAGGAGUGGCCAGGCAUGCCUUUCCUAUCAGUGUCACUUUGGACAGAAUGUACACAAGUCAUGGGAAUGUGCAGAAAGCUGUCUGCUGCAGAGAUGCUGAUAGCUCAGUUAAACUUCAACUCAUACCAGUAUUAGUGAGUAAUUUGGGAACUGCAUGAUUUUCUCAAGUGAAUUCCUUUAGACAGCUGAAGGUGCUGCUUAAGAGUGGCUCUUGAGUUGCUCACAAUCAAGUCAUAAAAUACAGGUCUUGUAACAUCUGCACUUCUGUAUAGCAUGUAUCACAUGAGUAAUCAUAUGUUUAAUAUCUAUCUUUCCCACAUUGCUACAAGAUGCCUACUUUCAUGGUUUACAGCUUUUUUGUUGUUCACUAUUGUAUACUUUGGGCCUGGUUUUGUCCUGGGACAUAGUUGACAUAGAAGAUCCAUACAUUGAAGAAUGAACAAGUGUUUGACAGAACAUGAGAAAAGAAGACCUUACUAAAAUGGGAUAAAGACCAGUGCCGAUAUGAUG
rnacentral:lncRNA from 1 species